CACCUUUGGAGCCCCACUAAUAGUAUAUACCCCCACAAUGUAAGAAGAAUUUUACAACAGAAAGCAGACAAAUGGCUCACAGAUGCUAAGUUUUUAAAGUAUGAGGCUAUACUGAUUCAUUCACCCAACCAGGAAUUGCAAAUAACUACCACUCAGAAUCCAGCACAGUUCCUAUUUGGUGAGCCAUUGGAGGUAUAUAAUCGUAAUGCAGUGCAGAGGUGGUGGAAUUACAAACAAACAUAAGACCAGGUUUGGAAGAAGAACUAGAGGAAGGGGAAGAGUGGGUUGUGGAUGGGUCCUCGAGAGUCAUAGAAGGGAAAAGAAGGUCAGGGUAUGCAAUAAUAGAUGGAAUGUCAGGAGAAGUGGUGGAAUCAGGACCCUUAAGUGCUAGUUGGUCAGCACAAGCUUGCGAAUUGUAUGCAGUUUUAGAAGCACUUAAGAGACACAGAAGUAUGAACUGCUGAAAGGACACACCAUUCCUGAGUAAAGAAGAUUGAACACCAGGAGAAGACACCUGAAUGGAAAGUGACUUCUCCAGGAAGUUUGAAGAUAAAACUGAAUCAAUAUACUAAUGACUGAAGAAGACAAGACAAUAUGUUUGGUACCACA